AUGCAGGCAGGGGGUCCAAUAUUUUCAACCAGUCCCCUGUAUCCUGUCCUCUACCUGAGGUGGCACCUGUACACUGUCCUCUACCUGGGGGGCCCCUGUACACAGCCUCUACGUGGGGUGGCCCCUGUACCCGGCCUCUACCUGGGGGGGGGGCCCUGUACCCGGCCUCUACCUGGGGGGCCCCUGUACACUGUCCUCUACCUGGGGUGGCACCUGUACACUGUCCUCUACCUGGGGGGCCCCUGUACACUGUCCUCUACCUGGGGGGCCCCUGUACACAGCCUCUACCUGGGGUGGCCCCUGUACCCGGCCUCUACCUGGGGUGGCACCUGUACACUGUCCUCUACCUGGGGUGGCACCUUUACACUGUCCUCUACCUGGGGGGGGCCCUGUACCCGGCAUAUACCUGGGGUGGCACCUGUACACUGUCCUCUACCUGGGGUGGCACCUAUACACUGUCCUCUACCUGGGGGGGGGGGGGGCCUGUACCCGGCAUCUACCUGGGGUGGCACCUGUACACUGUCCUCUACCUGGGGUGGCACCUAUACACUGUCCUCUACCUGGGGGGGGGGGCCCUGUACCCGGCAUCUACCUGGGGUGGCACCUGUACACUGUCCUCUACCUGGGGUGGCACCUAUACACUGUCCUCUACCUGGGGGGGGGGCCCUGUACCCGGCAUCUACCUGGGGUGGCACCUGUACACUGUCCUCUACCUGGGGUGGCACCUAUACACUGUCCUCUACCUGGUGGGGGGCCCUGUACCCGGCAUCUACCUGGGGUGGCACCUGUACACUGUCCUCUACCUGGGGUGGCACCUAUACACUGUCCUCUACCUGGGGUGGCACCUGUACACUGUCCUCUACCUGGGGUGGCACCUGUACACUGUCCUCUACCUGGGGUGGCACCUAUACACUGUCCUCUACCUGGGGGGGGGGCCCUGUACCCGGCAUCUACCUGGGGUGGCACCUGUACACUGUCCUCUACCUGGGGUGGCACCUAUACACUGUCCUCUACCUGGUGGGGGGCCCUGUACCCGGCAUCUACCUGGGGUGGCACCUGUACACUGUCCUCUACCUGGGGUGGCACCUAUACACUGUCCUCUACCUGGGGUGGCACCUGUACACUGUCCUCUACCUGGGGUGGCACCUGUACACUGUCCUCUACCUGGGGUGGCACCUAUACACUGUCCUCUACUCUCCUCAUAACAUCAUGAUGCCCCUUGCCUGGUGACACCUUUUAAAAUCUGUUCAACAGGUGACCAAACCCCUGCUGCCGCUCCUAUUCUGUCAGCUCAUGCUAUCACACAACAACCCCCUAGGAACUGGUCUACUUUAACAGAGAUACACAACAACCCCCUAGGAACUGGUCUCAGUUAACAGAGAUACACAACAACCCCCUAGGAUCUGGUCUCCGUUAACAGAGAUACACAACAACCCCCUAGGAACUGGUCUCCGUUAACAGAGAUACACAACAACCCCCUAGGAACUGGUCUCCGUUAACAGAGAUACACAACAACCCCCUAGGAACUGGUCUCCGUUAACAGAGAUACACAACAACCCCCUAGGAACUGGUCUCCGUUAACAGAGAUACACAACAACCCCCUAAGAUCUGGUCUCCGUUAACAGAGAUACGGCAGGGUAGCCUAGUGGUUAGAGCGUUGGACUAUUAACCGGAACGUUGCAAGUUCAAAUCCCCGAGCUGACAAGGUACAAAUCUGUCGUUCUGCCCCUGAACAGGCAGUUAACCCACUGUUCCUAGGCCGUUAUUGAAAAUAAGAAUUUGUUCUUAACUGACUUGCCUAGUAAAAUAAAAUAAAAUAAAGGUCAAAAAUACACAACAACCCCCUAGGAACUGGUCUCCAUUAACAGAGAUACACAACAACCCCCUAGGAACUGGUCUCCAUUAACAGAGAUACACAACAACCCCCUAGGAACUGGUCUCCAUUAACAGAGAUACACAACAACCCCCUAGGAACUGGUCUCCAUUAACAGAGAUACACAACAACCCCCUAGGAACUGGUCUCAGUUAACAGAGAUACACAACAACCCCCUAGGAACUGGUCUCAGUUAACAGAGAUACACAACAACCCCCUAGGAACUGGUCUCCAUUAACAGAGAUACACAACAACCCCCUAGGAACUGGUCUCAGUUAACAGAGAUACACAACAACCCCCUAGGAUCUGGUCUCCGUUAACAGAGAUACACAACAACCCCCUAGGAACUGGUCUCCGUUAACAGAGAUACACAACAACCCCCUAGGAACUGGUCUCCAUUAACAGAGAUACACAACAACCCCCUAGGAACUGGUCUCCAUUAACAGAGAUACACAACAACCCCCUAGGAACUGGUCUCCGUUAACAGAGAUACACAACAACCCCCUAGGAACUGGUCUCCGUUAACAGAGAUACACAACAACCCCCUAGGAACUGGUCUCCAUUAACAGAGAUACACAACAACCCCCUAGGAACAUACAUACCCUGGUAUCCAACAGAGUUUUCUGUUUUAUCUCUCCCUUUCUCCUCUCUCUCUUCUCUCUCUUCCUCUCUUUGUAAAUUGGCAUUGUAGAUACUUGAGGAAAUAGUUUGGUAAUAUCUAUAAUUUAGCAGCAAUGCUGUUUGUUUUUUAAAAUAAUGACAAAGUAUUGUGAAUGAUAUAUUUGUUGAUUGGUUUUGAAAAUCCAACUCCUCUGGCUCUUAAAGUACAGUAAUGUAAGGCGGCACAUGAUGUUCAGCAGAACAAAAAGCUCCACUAGAAAAGUGAUUCAACUAUGUUGAAACUAAGGAUUACUAGCUAAGUGAUGAUAUUGUAGUUACAAAUGUAAAUAAAAUAAUGACAUGAAUGUUUUAUAAUUAAAUGGUAAAAUUCACCUGUUGUUGUCUACCUUUUACUGUUGUGUUAGAAACUAAAGCUGUGUUUUAAGUGAGAACAGGUAUUGAUCUGAAGCCGGGGAAAAAAUAAGGAAAUUCAUGAGCACCACCAAUGCCUAUUCCACCCAUGUUUUACCAAGGUUUUCCAUCACACAGCGUCGAUCUACUACAGUAGCUAUGUUGAUAUUGUACACCAAACUAUGUGUAGGCAGGUUGCUUAGGAUUCAGACCUCAUUCACUCUUAGAGGAGGCCACACAAUAAUGUGAUUUGUACCACAUACAAGAUGAAGUAUUGGAUUCUCCACACACCACAGUAAGACAUUAUCCCAUUACACAGCUUUUUAAUUAUUAAAUAAACGCAAGCUUUGCAAGGCUUGACGGAGCUGUUUUGUCUCGUAUAAAUGUGCUACAGGCCUGCCUUUUUAUUUCCUUAAACCUGUAUUUUAGCAAAACAUCAGAAUAACAUGCUUUGUUGGUCAGUAGGUAAACAGCAGGAGGAGAUGUGUUGGACAGCUCAGAUAAAGCCUGUCUGCAUUCCUGGUUUAUGUAACCGUUAGUUUACCUGUGGAAUAUUGACAUAAGCUCAGGACCGCUUGUGUUUCAAACAUGGUCCUGUUUAAUCAUGGCUAUGCUGGUCAAUAGACAGCUCAUUACCUCUGUCAAAAUAAUAUGUAGCUUAAAGAUGUGUGUUUGUACUCGUAUUUCUUUGCGCAACAAUGAUGGUGACGCAGCAAUAAUACACAUUUACAAUAGGUCUAUAUCAACAAUACAUACAGACAAAUAAUCUACAGUGCAUUCAGGAAGUAUUCAGAUCCAUUGACUUAACACAUUUUGUUUGUUAGGUUACAACCUAAAUCUAAAAUGGAUUAAAUAUUAGAUUUUUAAAAACAUCACAACACCACAUAAUAACAAAGCAGGUUUUAGAAUUUUUUGUGAAUUUAUUUAAAAAAAAUAAACAGAUACCUUUUUACAUACGUUUUCAGACUCUUUGCUAUGAGACUCUAAAUUGAGUUCAGGUGCAUCCUGUUUCCGUUGAUCAUUCUUGAGAUGUUUCUACAACUUGGUUGGAGUCCACCUGUGGUAAAUUCAAUUGAUUGGACAUGAUUUGGAAAGGCACACACCUGUCUAUAUAAGGUCCCACAGUUGACAGUGAAUGUCAGAGCAAAAACCAAGUAAUGAGGUCAAAGGAAUGGUCCGUAGAGCUCAGAGACAGGAUUGUGUUGAGGCACAGAUCUGGGGAAGGGUACCAAAUAAUUUUUGCAUCAUUGAAGGUCCCCAGGAAGGCCUCCAUCAUUCUUAACUGGAAGAAGUUUGGAACCACCAAGACUCUUCCUAGAGCUGGCCGUCCGGCCAAACUGAGCAAUCGGGGGAGAAGGGCCUUGGACAGGGAGGUGACCAAAAACCCGAUAGUCACUCUGACAACGCUCCAGAGUUCCUCUGUGGAGAUGAGAGGA
ensembl:lncRNA